rnacentral:rRNA from 1 species
AUUGAACGCUGGCGGCAUGCCUAACACAUGCAAGUCGAACGGGGGUAGCAAUACCCUAGUGGCGGACGGGUGAGGAAUACGUAGGAAUUUGCCCUUAAGUGGGGGAUAACCCGGGGAAACCCGGACUAAUACCGCAUGAUCUCGUGAGAGCAAAGCAGGGGACCGCAAGGCCUUGCGCUUUUGGAGAAGCCUACGUCGGAUUAGCUAGUUGGUGGGGUAAUGGCCCACCAAGGCUACGAUCCGUAACUGGUCUGAGAGGAUGAUCAGUCACACCGGAACUGAGACACGGUCCGGACUCCUACGGGAGGCAGCAGUGGGGAAUAUUGGACAAUGGGCGAAAGCCUGAUCCAGCAAUGCCGCGUGUGUGAAGAAGGCCUUCGGAUUGUAAAGCACUUUAGGCUGGAAAGAAAAAGCUUUGGCUAAUAUCCAAAGCCUUGACGGUACCAGCAGAAUAAGCACCGGCUAACUCUGUGCCAGCAGCCGCCGUAAGAC